rnacentral:rRNA from 1 species
UACAGAGGUCUCAACCGUUGUUCGGAUUCAUUGGGCGUAAAGGGUGCGUAGGCGGUCGCGCAAGUCGGAUGUGAAAUCUCAGGGCUCAACCCUGAAACUGCAUUCGAUACUGCGUGGCUAGAGUGCUGGAGGGGAGACUGGAAUUUACGGUGUAGCAGUGAAAUGCGUAGAUAUCGUAAGGAAGACCAGUGGCGAAGGCGAGUCUCUGGACAGCAACUGACGCUGAGGCACGAAGGCCAGGGGAGCAAACGGGAUUAGAUACCCUGUAGUCC